AUGAAGCAAAAGGUUCCUGCAAAGAGAAUUCCAAUGUCUAAGGCCAGAGCAUCUACUCAAGUCCCUUUGGGAUCUGAACCCAAAGAGGCUGCUGCAGAAGGGAAGAAAAGGAAGGAAAGGGUCAAGAAGACCAUGGCCAGAGUGAUUGGAAAUGCUUCCAUGAUGGAAGAGGAAGAGGAAGAAGAGGUUGCUGCACCAGCACCCAAGGCACAGAAGCUUAUGAGUGAUGCUAUCAGGACAGGGGCUGCUUCAUCAAAGCCCAAAGAAGCACCCAAAGCAGCCUCCAAGCCCAAGACUGCACUUAAGAGGAAUACCAGGAGUAUGCAAGCUGCUGAGAAGAACAAGGCCCCAGUGCCUGAAGUUGCUGCUGAUGAAGAUGAUGAAGGACAAGUCCUGAGAAAGCUCAAACCCUAG
rnacentral:rRNA from 1 species